UUUCCUCACACUAAGCUUGUUACAAAGACCAUCUUCACAAGGACUGCUGUCAUUGUCCCUUUUAUCCUCCAUCUUUAAGAUAGAACUGUGAAAUAUCUCCAACGUGUUAUUGAAUAAGAUCUCUCCUGAUUCUCCGUCA